GUUGCCUGGUGUAAGUGAGACACCUGGGGCCAAUGAAGAGGCUGGAAGAUGCUGAUUGAACCAGCUGAGGUUCUAGCCAGGCAGGCUGACUCUGCAGGUUGCAACAGGACAUGGCUGUGGAUAAGCCGACACCAGACCCGUGACCUGCUUUCCACUCUGUGAGGGAAGGAUAAGUGAAUUUAAUGCGAUCUCUGUUACAAAAGUCUACUGCUGCUCCCUUGAAAUCAGGUGAUGUCUUAUAUUGACUUCUGUGAAGGUAGGAUCAAGUCCAAAUUUCAAGCACUUAAUUUUCCAGCAGGGUAAAGGAAGCAAGACUUAAACUGCUGCACUUCUUUGGCAAAUAAUGAAUGGGACCUCAUUAUCUCUGUUAGGACGUGACUUUACAGAUGAUUACAUGCUGAAACUAUGCCACCGAUAGACUGGCUCUGACCUGAACUGUGAAACAUGCUCAGAGAGUGAGAGACUUUCAAGACACUUCAUUCAUUCUCAUAUUGUGAAUGAUUUUGUCAAUGAAUGGGACUACUGACCUUGGUGACUUGGUACCAGCAUUCCCCUCUAGGUACAAGCACACUGCCAUACUGUGGCUAUUGACCACUAUUCCUGCAUUCUUUUGAGACAAAAAAUCAUCCACAGCAGCAUUUAGCAGAAUUUCUCUAAGGUAUUAUUGUGGCCCUCUUCAUUUACAAAUAAUUUAUUGUCUCUUACGAAAACAGUAGAUAAGGAAUCAAAGAAAUUUCUCCACGGGUUUUGCAUAGAAAAAUUUGGUCUGACGUUCUGAAUAUGUAUUUGCUAAAAUGCUAUAACACAAGAAACUACAAAGUACAUGUGAUUAACCAUAUUGCUUAUUAGAAGUGAAAUACAAAUAGCACAGGAAUAGAAAUUGUUUGACCAUGAAAAUUCAUCUUAUUCCAGCAAAAUAUUCCCGUAACUCUACUUCUUAGAGGUAUUAUGAGCCUAAAAUUAGUAAUCUAUGCAUGCUGCUUAAGAAUAUCUAUGACAGAUAUUCCAUAGAAAGCUUGUUAUGAGUAUGUAAUAAGAGACAAUGAUUUAUGGAUUUAUUCUUACAAAACUCUUCUGACUCGGAUAAAUACUGUUAUUGCUGUUCUGCAGAUGGGUAAAUUGAGGGACUGAAGACUUAAGUAGCACGCACAGGAUCACCCAGCAAGUCUAGAGAAAAUAGACUGGAACCAGAAUGUUGUAUUUCUAUUUUCAUGUUCUGUAAGUGUUAGAUCAUCUCUCUCCCAUGAUUAGCUGCUAUUCUGGCAUGAACUCAGGACCAUUAUGAUAGAGCUAUUUUUCAUACAAUGGGAUGAGACUGCCAUGGCUUUAAUUGUAAGCAUGUGUUUGCUCUUUUAUGGCAUUGUGAUUGUUAUGUAAGGUAAUGUGUAAAUUUAAUGGAUUUUAAAUUAUGAGUUAACAUUACAACCACUUUAGCGUAGGGAAAAUUUUCUUCCUUGAUGUCUGUACUGCCCUAAAUAACUCAAAGUCCUAAUUAAUGAUUAGACUUUGGAAUCAGUAGACCAAUGCAAAACUAAACGUAAUUGUCAGAUUGUAUUUAUUCAAGGUUGAAGUUGUUUUAAAUUAAGAGGAGGAAAUCCCACCUUUAGGAAUUUACAGAAAAGACCCACGUGUUUAACUUCUAGGUGAACAUGUUCUUUGUAUAAUUUAGAUCCGACAGGAUACAUGCUCCCAAACUUACAUGUCUAAACAAAUGACCUACAACACAUGCUGCUAAAUUUUGGAAAAUUAACAUAAUGCUUUUGGAGGAGAAUGUGAUGAUUUCAGAAAUGAAUAAAUGAUGGUAUAUUUAUAGCUGCUUUUCAAAGAAAAGAAAGGUAGCCAAUCCUUAUGACUAAUAACCAUUAUUUAAAGUACAAUCAGAGACGCUCCUUGUAAAUUUUUAGCCAGGGUCUUGGCAAGACUUAUUGCCCAAGAAAAGGAUAUCUAUAUUGGGAAUCAGCUGCUCUUACACAAUAUUUGUGAUGAUUUGGAACCACUUAAAAACAAGGAGUUGGUGAUAUAAUACAUUCUUUGGAUUUGGAGACGUUCCCCUUAUUCCUGCUUUGAAUUAAGAGAAUAUAUUGGUGGUUUAGUUAAAUGUCUCUUAGUUAAAAUUAUACCUCUUUCUUUGUGUUUGAUUGAAGCCAGAUCUGUCUCUUUCUGUU
rnacentral:lncRNA from 7 species